AUGAAGCUCAAAGAUGUAUAUUGGAUAAUUUUUGGUUCCAAUAUACUCUCAAGAGAGAGGAAAAAGGAUAUUUUUUUAUCAAUUCUCAAUAGUUUGGCAGAAUAUUUUAAUGAAUUAAACAAAAAUUUGCCAAAGCCAGGAAAGAUUGAAAUACCAAAAGGAGAAACACUAUAUCUUAUAUUUGAUGGAAAUAAACCUGGCAUAUAUUUGGAAUGGGAAAAUAUUAUGAUUGAAAAAUUAGAUGCAAAAAGAAAAGGACAAGAUUUAACAUUCAAAAGAUAUUAUAGUAUAGAUGUUGCCUUACUUUGGGCAAGAAAGGUAUUAGGACCAGAUUAUUAUAUUGACCCAAAGGCUAAAGACUAUAUCCAAAUGAGAAGAGGCAUACCUGCUUCACCAACUCCCACAAAGGGGGAGGCAUCAAGCUCAAAAAAUAUAAAGAAGGAAGAAUCUCCAAAAUAUAAGACAUAUCAAGAAUGCCUUCUAAAGGGGCUUGACCCUUUAGACAGUGUAUACAUAGAUCAAGAAAUGGAUAAAAGAUUUGAAGAAUUUUCGAAAAUAAUAAAGAAAGAAUUAAAAUAA
rnacentral:rRNA from 1 species